CAGUCGCCGCGGUAAUACAGAGGGUGCAAGCGUUAAUCGGAUUUACUGGGCGUAAAGGGCGCGUAGGUGGUUAUGUAAGUGAGAUGUGAAAUCCCCGGGCUCAACCUGGGAACUGCAUCUUAUACAGCGUAGCUGGAGUGCAGUAGAGGGUAGUGGAAUUUCCGGUGUAGCGGUGAAAUGCGUAGAUAUCGGAAGGAACACCAGUGGCGAAGGCGGCUACCUGGACUGACACUGACACUGAGGCGCGAAAGCGUGGGGAGCAAACAGGAUUAGAGACCCGAGUAGUCCCUGUCUCUUAUAC
rnacentral:rRNA from 1 species